UACGGAGGUGGCAAGCGUUGCUCGGAAUCACUGGGCGUAAAGGGCGCGUAGGCGGCUAGGCAAGUCGGGUGUGAAAUCCCUCGGCCCAACCGAGGAACUGCGCCCGAGACUGCUUCUCUUGAGUCCCGGAGAGGAAGGUGGAAUUCCCGGUGUAGCGGUGAAAUGUGUAGAGAUCGGGAGGAACACCGGUGGCGAAGGCGGCCUUCUGGACGGUGACUGACGCUGAGGCGCGAAAGCGUGGGGAGCAAACGGG
rnacentral:rRNA from 1 species